UACGGAGGGUGCGAGCGUUGUUCGGAAUCAUUGGGCGUAAAGCGCGUGUAGGCGGCUUGGCAAGUCGGGUGUGAAAUCCCGGGCCCCAACCCCGGAACUGCAUUCGAAACUUCCUCGCUAGAGUCCCUGAGAGGAAGGCGGAAUUCCCGGUGUAGAGGUGAAAUUCGUAGAUAUCGGAAGGAACACCAGCGGCGAAGGCGGCCUUCUGGACGGUGACUGACGCUGAGACGCGAAAGCGUGGGGAGCAAACAGG
rnacentral:rRNA from 1 species